AGGUCAUUUCAAAGAGGGCUUGUAGGACUAAAACCAGGAGCUCUUAACACUGUGACCAAAGAUUGGAGUUCUCCGUAGGAUGCAGUUGUCACUCAAUAGUGCUCUGUUUUCCUAAGGAGAUAGAAGA
ensembl:snoRNA